rfam:Hirsutella minnesotensis 3608 unplaced genomic scaffold MNSD_Scf_7, whole genome shotgun sequence.
ACAUACGGCCAUUCCUAUCAGGAAGCAUUGGAUCCCGUCCGCUCUCCUUCAAUUAAACUGAUAAGGGGCAGAUUAGUAGUUGGGUCGGUGACGACCAGCGAACACCGGCUGCUGUAUGUU